GGGGCUGUAGCUCAGUGGUAGAGUGUCUGCUUGGUAUGCAGAAGGUCCCAGGUUCAAUCCCUGGUAUCUCCA